rnacentral:rRNA from 1 species
AUCUACAGUCAUACCACCCUGAACAUGCCAGAUCUCAACUGAUCUCAGAAGCUAAGAGGGCUCAAGCCUCCUUGGUAUUUAGAUGGGACAGCACUUAGGAAUAUCUGGUGCUAUAGUCA